rnacentral:lncRNA from 1 species
GGAGUUUGAAAGAAUAAAGAGAUGGAGGGAACGCAUCAUAACCUGGUAUGACCUGGAUCAACAUAAACAAAGGGGUUUAGAUAGCUCAUGGUUCUGCUGGUUAGGAAGUUCAAGCGCAAGGCCCUGACUUCUGGUAAGUGCUUUCAUGCUGCAUCAACACGACUAAGAAGGUCAAAGAAGAAGUGGACAUACUUCCUUUGGCCUGGAGGCAAACUUAGGAGCUGCCUUUCAGUGUCAUCUCAGGAGCAUCCUUGAAAGAAUCAGGGAAGAAAGUG